rnacentral:hammerhead_ribozyme from 1 species
GGCUAGCUGACGAGUCCCAAAUAAGACGAAAUGCGUGUUAUUCUGGAU